CCUACGGGAGGCAGCAGUGGGGAAUAUUGGACAAUGGGGGGAACCCUGAUCCAGCCAUGCCGCGUGUGUGAAGAAGGCCCUCGGGUUGUAAAGCACUUUCAGUGAGGAAGAACGCCUGGUGGUUAAUACCCAUCAGGAAAGACAUCACUCACAGAAGAAGCACCGGCUAACUCCGUGCCAGCAGCCGCGGUAAUACGGAGGGUGCGAGCGUUAAUCGGAAUUACUGGGCGUAAAGCGCGCGUAGGUGGCUUGAUAAGCCGGUUGUGAAAGCCCCGGACUCAACCUGGGAACGGCAUCCGGAACUGUCAAGCUAGAGUGCAGGAGAGGAAGGUAGAAUUCCCGGUGUAGCGGUGAAAUGCGUAGAGAUCGGGAGGAAUACCAGUGGCGAAGGCGGCCUUCUGGACUGACACUGACACUGAGGUGCGAAAGCGUGGGUAGCAAACAGGAUUAGAUACCCUAGUAGUC
rnacentral:rRNA from 1 species